GCCAGACACAGUGAUAAGUGCCUGUAGUCCCAACUACUUCAGAAGGUGAGGUGGGAGGAUUGCUUGGGCACAGGAGUUUGGGGCUAUAAUGUGCUAUGCUGAUGAGGUGUUUGCACUAAGUUCAGCAUCAAGCCAGGCACAAUGGUAUGCGCCUAUAGUUCCAGCACUUUGGGAGGCUGAGGCAGGUGGCUCGCUUGAGCUCAGGAGUUGGAGACCAUGGGGAGCAGUGAAUUGGCCUAAGUAAGAAAAAGAGCAGGUCAAAGCUCCCAUGCUGAUGCGUAGUAGGCUAACACUUGGGAAGCCACUGUGUUCCACCCUGGGCAACAUAGCAAGACCUCAUUUCU
rnacentral:SRP_RNA from 1 species